rnacentral:rRNA from 1 species
GUCGGGCCUGCCCUGUGACUUUAGUUUAACGGCCGCGGUAUCCUAACCGUGCGAAGGUAGCAUAAUCAUUUGUCUUUUAAAUGGGGACCUGUAUCAACGGCAUAACGAAGGCUAUACUGUCUCCUCACUCCAAUCAGUGAAACUGAUCUCCCCGUGAAAAAGCAGGGAUAAAAUUAUUAGACGAGAAGACCCCAUGGAGCUUUAAGCCCGGCAACAACCUUCCCCCCUUACUCCUUUUUAAACCUAAAGAUCUUGCUUGCCACUUUAGGCUGGGGCGACCACGAAGUAUACUAAAACCUUCAUGAUAGACGGAAUUUUCUCCUUAUCCAUGAGCUACCCCUCUAAGAAUCAGCACACUGAUAUAAAAUGAUCCGAUUUAAUCGAUCAACGAACUAAGUUACCCUGGGGAUAACAGCGCAAUCCAUUUAAAGAGUUCAUAUCGACAAUGGGUUUACGAACUCGAUGUUUGGACCAAGGUUNNCNUAUUGUUCCCACCCCCUCNNAAAGUUCCUUUGUUCCACCAAAUNAAACCCNACCUUAUCUUAAU